GAUGAACGUUAGCGGCAGGCCUAACACAUGCAAGUCGAGGGGUAGAGCACUUCGGUGUUUGAGACCGGCGCACGGGUGCGUAACGCGUAUGCAAUCUGCCUUACACUAAGGGAUAGCCCAGAGAAAUUUGGAUUAAUACCUUAUAGUAUAUUGAUGUGGCAUCACAUUAUUAUUAAAGAUUUAUCGGUGUAAGAUGAGCAUGCGUCCCAUUAGCUAGUUGGUAUGGUAACGGCAUACCAAGGCAAUGAUGGGUAGGGGUCCUGAGAGGGAGAUCCCCCACACUGGUACUGAGACACGGACCAGACUCCUACGGGAGGCAGCAGUGAGGAAUAUUGGACAAUGGGCGCAAGCUUGAUCCAGCCAUGCCGCGUGCAGGAUGAAGCAUCUAUGGUGUGUAAACUGCUUUUGUACGGGAAGAAACACCUCUUCGUGAAGAGGCUUGACGGUACCGUAAGAAUAAGGACCGGCUAACUCCGUGCCAGCCGCCGCGGUAAUAC
rnacentral:rRNA from 1 species